AGAAAUAUAAAGAAAAUCUCAAGAGCAUCACUGGUCUCCGGUUUGCUUUGGAGGACAUCAAAGGGGUAAGACUUGAUCAUUUGACUGGACAAGAUGAUGUACUUUUCUUUAAGGAAUGGAAGAUACUGAUUCUUUAAAACUUUUUUUAUUGUUAUGUACAAAAGACUAUUUGCAACAUAAAUUUGAAUUACAAAGCAUAAUAUUAAAAUGAACAGUGUGACCUUCCACCCAAUUCAAAACUAUGACACCACCAAA
rnacentral:lncRNA from 1 species